rnacentral:lncRNA from 10 species
CAUUGUUUUCAUUUUCGUUUGUAUCAAGGCAUUUCUUGACUUCCUUUUUUAUUUCUUCUUGACUAUUGAUAAUCAAUUACCCAUUGGUUAUUCAUGAGCAUGUUGUUUAAUUUCCACAUAUUUUAUAUUUUCUGAAAUUCAUUCUUUUAUGAUUUCUAGUUUUGUACCACUGUGAACAGAAAAGAUACUUAUGAUUUCACUCCUCUUAAAUGUAAGACCUGUUUUGUGACCUAAAAUAUGACCUAUCUUGGAGAAUGUUUAAUAUGCCCUUGAGAAGAGUAUGUAUCCUAAUCCUGUUGGACUGCAUGUUCUUUAGACAUGUUAGGUCCAUUUGAUCUAAAGUGUAAGGGGGGUGAGUAUAAGUCCACGCGAGUAUAAGUACAAGUCCAGUGUUUUCUUUUUGAUGUUCUAUCUAGAUGAUUUGUCCAUUGUUGAAAGUGGCAUAUUGAAGUCCCAUAAUAUUAUUGUAUUGCAGUCUAUAUUUCCCUCAGUUCAUUUAAUUGCUUUAUAUAUUUAGGUUGGGUGCAUAUAUAUUUACAAUUUGCAUAUCCUCUCGAUAAAUUGGCCUUUUAAUCAUAUCUUUGUCUCUUUUUAAAGUUUGUAACUUUAAGUCUAUUUUGCCUGAUAUAAACAUAGCUACCCCUGCUCUCAUUUGGUUUCCAUUUGCAUGGAUAUCUUUUUCUAUCUUUUCACUUUUCACUCUAUGUAUCUCUUUACUAGUAAAGUAAGUCUCUUGUAGGCAGUAUAGAGUUGGGUCUUAUUUUUUUAACCCAACCAGUCAUUCUGUCUUUUGAUUGGAUAAUUUAAUCUAUUUACAUUCAAGGAAUUAUUAAUAGGUAAGGAUGUAUUAUUGCCAUUUUAAAGUUAUUUUUGGUUGUUUUGUAGAUUCUUUGUUUCUUUCUUGUCUUUUUUGUGGUUUGGUGGUUUUCUGUGGUGGUAUGCUUUGAAUCUUUUCUUUCUGUUUUGUGAAACUACUUUAGGUUUUUAAUUUGUGGUUACCAUGAAACUUAUAUAAAAUAUUUUAUAUUUAGGCUGUUUUAAUCUGACAUCUUAAUUCUAAUUGCAUACAAAAAUUCUAUAUUUAUACUCACCUCCUUAUAUUUUAUGAUAUUGACUUCAAAAUGUACACCUUUUUGUGAUUUGUAUUUCUCAACAAUUUAUUGUACCUGUAGUUGUUGUUAAUAGUUUUGUGUUUUACCUCUCAUAUUAGAGAUAAAAUUGCUUUCCACAUCACCCUUACAAUAUCAGAAUAUUUGGAAUAUAAUUAUGUAUUACUUAUUUGAUUGACUUUUGUACUUUCAUGUGUUUUAUGUUGUUAAUUAGCAGUCUUUCAUAUUAGCUUAAAGAACUUUCCCUAGAAAUUCCUAUUAAGAAGGCUUAGUGGUGAUUAAUUUUCUUAGUUUUUGUUUGCCUGGGAAAGGUUUUGUGUUCCUCAUUCCUGAAGGACAGCUUUACCAGAUAAAGCAUCCUUACUUGGCAGUUAUUUCCCCCCAGUACUUUGAAUAUUCAUCCUACUUCUCCUUGUCUGCAGCGCUUUUGCUAAGAAAUCUGCUGACAGAUGUAUUGGGACUUACUUGUAUGUGGCAUAUCUUUUGUAUUUUGCUGCUUUCAGAAUUACUGUCAUUGAUUUUUGAAGAUUUUAUUAUGAUGUGUCUUGGUGAGUUUCUCUUUGGUUUGUAUUUGAUUGCAGAGAUCUAAGCUUUUGUAUUAGACCAUUCUUGCAUUGCUAUAAAGAAAUACCUGAGACUGGGUAAUUUAUAAAGAAAAGAAUUUACCAUUAUUGCAGGCUGUACAGGAAUCAUGCUGCUGGCAUCUGCUCAGCUUCUGGGGAGGCCUCAGGAAACUUAAAACCAUGGUGGAAGGUGAAGGUGCAACAGGAACAUCACAUGGCCAGAGCAAGAGCAAGAGAGAGUAAUUUCAAAUGAGCUAUAUUUGAGUUUGCUGAUUCUUCUGCAUGACUGAGUCUGCUGUUUAUGCUCUCUAUUAAAUUUUUCAGUUCUGUCAUUGUAUUUUUUAGCUCCUAGAUUUCUGUUUGGUUAUUUUUAUAGUUUCUGUUUCUUAUUAAACUUCUCAUUGUGUUAAUGCUCUGUUUUUGUUAUUUUUAAAUAAUUAUCUAUCUAUGUUAUCUUACAUCCCAUUGAGCCAUUUUAAGAUGAUUAUUUUGAAUUCUUUGUCAGAUAAUUUGUAGAUCAUCAUUUCUUUGAUGUCAGUUACUAGAGCUUUGCUAGUUUCCUUAGGCAGUGUCAUGUUUGCUUAAUUGUUUGUAAUCCAGGUAGCCUUGCAUUGGUAGCUGAGCACUGGAAGAGAUAAAGACCUCUUUCAGUCUUUACAACCACUUUCAGCAAGUAAAUACCUUCUCCUGUUAGGUCCCCAGGAUAAUGGGAUUGCCUCUGGAAUUUCAGUUCAGUGAGGUUGAAGCUGGGUCACAUAGUUCUUGCUGGGUCCACAGUGGGAUCUGUGAUUGGUAAGUCUGUUGUCAGGGGGCUUAGGUAGGCAUAUCUCCUAUGGGGUCCCUAAGCAGAUGAGACUGUCUCUGAUACCUUGGUCAGUAAAGUUGUCAUCGAGACAAGGAUCAUAUGCUUCAGGAUCCACAGUUGGAUCUGCAGAAGGUGGGCCUAUUAACAGGUUUGUGGACAGGUGUGGCUCCUGCUGGGUCAUUCCUGUUGCAUUAUUCAUCAGACAGGACUGCUCCUGGAUCAUGGCUCAGAGGACCUGGAGUUGGGUCACAUACUGCUUCAGAGUCCACAGUCAGGACCAGUGUCAGCAGGCCUGUUACCUGAAGCAGGGACAGAUGUGGUUCCUCGUGCGUCCCUUGGUGGAUGGUGCUGGUGGCAAGACUAAGGCCAAAUGGGGCUGUAGCAGAGUCCAUAGGGGGAUGGAGCUGUUUCCAGGUUUGUAGCCAAGGUCACCAUCAGUGAGCCUGCCACCUGGGCACAGGCCUGCCUUCUCAAAACAGCUGUCAUCAGUCUUAGGGUCUACCAGAGCUUACAAUCACUUACUUGGAUCCCAUAGCUCCCACAAAGGCAUUUUUUUCCCAUAAAUGGCUGAGAAAUUAUUGUUGGAGUUGGGAGAAUAUGAAAGGAGACCUCCCAUGCCACCAAAUCGCUGACGUCACCCCUGUGUUGCAUUUUUAUACCACAUUCUCUAUGGUUAAGGAAUACAUUGAUUGUUUUUGGAAAAGAGCACUUAACAGUUUCUAAACAUUUAACAAAUAGCUAAUGAUUUUUUGUCAAUAUUUAUUGAGGCUGGCCUCACAUCACUAGGCCAGGUAUUAGAAGAGAAUAUCAAUAUUACUGAGAAAUUUGCUUUAAUCAGAGUUAUCUAACAAAGCAACCAAUUAAAAAAACACUCAUAAAUAUCACAUUUUACAAGAUGAUCUGAUCAAUCAGUACAAAGUUCUUAUCAUAAUCACAGAAUUGAGUAAUUACAGUUGUUCCUUGAUGUCCACAGGGGAUUGUUUCUAGAACCUUUCCCUUAUAACAAAAUCCACAGACGCUUAAGUCUGCAGUUGACUCUGCAAAACGCAUGAAUACAAAAAGUCUGCCCUCUAUAUCUGUGGGUUCUGCAUCCCACAAAUACUGUAUUUUUGAUCCACAGUUGGCUAAAUCUGCAGGUGCAGAACCCGUAAACACCAAAGGUUGACUGUAUUUGUUAAGUAAAUACUUACCUAAUACACUUUGGCUUUGACUUAGGUGGCAUUAACUCAAUAUUUCUAGAAGAUAUGUUUAUAAAGUCUACUUUAAUAGGUACCUUCAGAUCAUAACAAUAAAAUUGAUUUUGCUCUCUCUGUCUCUUUAAAAUGUGCAUGCACACACACACACACACACACACACACACCACACUCAAAUUGGUAUUCUGAAUGCUCCAAAUCAAAUCUUGGUGUUCUGAAAUAUAUCCUAAGAAAUGUCUAUUAUUGUCAAGGGGAACUCCUUCAUGAUGCAUACGCAACUAUGAGAAUGUUCUGCAUGUUUACUGUUUUCACUUCUGUCAUGAUCUAUUCAAGAAGGAAGUUUAUGUAUAAAACAUUAAGUGUACUAACCAAUUAAAUACAUAUUAAAAUGUAUCAACAUCAUUAAAGUCCAAC